GUCCACGCCGUAAACUAUGAUUACUCGUUUUCAGCCCUUUAGGGGUUGGAGACUAAGCGAAAGUGAUAAGUAAUCCACCUGGGGAGUACGAUCGCAAGGUUGAAACUCAAAGGAAUUGACGGGGGCCCGCACAAGCGGUGGAGCAUGUGGUUUAAUUCGAUGAUACGCGAGGAACCUUACCAGGGCUUAAAUGUAGAGGGAAUUAUGUGGAAACAUGUGAGUCUUCGGACCGUCUACAAGGUGCUGCAUGGCUGUCGU
rnacentral:rRNA from 1 species